AGAGUUUGAUCCUGGCUCAGAACGAACGCUUGCGGCGCGCCUAAUACAUGCAAGUCGAACGAACCAGCAAUGGUGAGUGGCGCACGGGUGAGUAACGCGUGGAUAAUCUGCCUAUCAGUGGGGAAUAACUAUCCGAAAGGAUAGCUAAUACCGCAUGAGGCCACAGUGUCUGCGGACACAGGGGUUAAAGAUUUAUCGCU
rnacentral:rRNA from 1 species